ACCAAACAAAAGACUAACAAAACCACCACGCCAGUCCAAUGCCCCAACCACCGCACCUCCUCCCGUAUUCGCCGAUGGCUACCUCUGCCGGUGCUAAAACCCUAACUUCCUCCUCUACUUCUGCCGCUCUAUAUAACUUACAUCCACCGGGUUUCCUUCGAAGCUGAUUGAAGAGUUUGCCACUGUUGCUCUCUCGAUCAACUCCGCCACUGCGUUCAAGGACAAAUAGUCCGAUCAGUAUUCGGUCUUUGAAAAGUUAUGUAGGGUAAUAUUGUGUUUUGGUGUCACCAUGGAUAACAACCGUCGGUGCAGGGACGUCGGACCGUGACUUCCCGGCGUACGUUAGUCUCGGCAAGGGGAGAGACUAUUCUGGUGUCUCGUUGUAUAAGGGACCCACACUGCCUGAUAAGAUGCUGCCAUUUGUUUAUGCUGGUAAUGCUAGUAAUUCCACUAGUGGUGUUCUGUGUAUGCCUGGAAGUUCCACACGGUUAAGUGGUUAUAUGAUCCUUUUGAAGUUUGUCAUAAUCUUGCGGCGUACAGGUUGAUCUAGUUCUGUUUUUGUUUCUUGACCAAAAGUUAUGUGGGUGUAACUCAACAAUUAGAUAGCCCAAACUGUUAGUAAUUUACAAUAGAUGGGGUCGGCUCGACUCACUUUUUGUUUAGUAGUUUUAGUUUUUUUAUUAAUAGUUAACGUGCCAAGUAUGAUCACCAAAGUUAUGUAAAAAAAACUGACCUGACCCGACCCGAACCAAAACAACCCUUUUUUAUAGUUGACCCGUUUUGACCCAUGACCCGACCCGAUCCGACCCGUUUGCCAGGUCUACUUAAAACUCAUAUUUAACCCUUUGACUUGUGAUUGUUACUAUUUAGGAAACGAAUGUCGAUUCAGAACUUAAACACUUUCAUGAAUUAGUAGCUCGUUUGAACAGUCGCAUCGUUGGAACUAAGGCGAUAGUCUCGGAGCUCUAGUACGUAGUCCCUUCGUUCUGAUUACAUCAAGACGUUUGCUCUUGAUGAGGCUGAUGAAAUGCUUUCAAUGGGGUUCAAGGAUCAGGAGGCUAGUUACUGGGCUGAAGACUAUUACAUGCUGUUGUUGGGCUUUGUGGAUCUGGUCAAGUUCUCAAGCUAGGGUUCCAGUAUAAAAGAGUAAAAGACUAUCAGCUGUAGAGAUCCUUUUUUCCAAAAAUUCCAGAUCGUUCAACUCUCGUUUUGGGGUUUCAUAUCAUAUUAAGAUGAAUUGUUCUCAUUAGUUUAAACCAGAGAUCAUAAUCUUUAUUGAUUCUCUUUUAAGUUUUGUAUUUCAGAAGAGUUUUGUCUUUUUGAACGAUUGAUCAUCAUCAUCUAGACUUCACGCCACAUGAGAGGUUUUAUGUUGUCGGAAGAUAUGCACCUGUCACAGAUACAAGAUCAAAGUUGCUCCGAUGCAUCUCAUCGGACCUCCUUCUCUCUCUCGCUCGUAUCUUUAUACCAAAAAAGUUUGAAGAGGUAGGGGGCUAGCUUCAGGAUGUUGAAGAAGGGAAUGAGCAAAUUAGGUCACAGCGGAUGUCAAUGGACUGGUAAACGGGUUGCAGGUCUCAACGUUUUCAUCAGUUGCAAGGCCUUUUUUGGCUCAACCUGGAAACUGCAAGAUCGUGGGUGAGAGAGUGCUGAACCGCCGUGAACUGCUGCUUCUAGAAGGAAUUUAGAGACUUUAAACGGCUGAGAUUAAAAGUUGAUGACUUUCUACGGCUGUAAUUAGCCCAAAUAGCAGUUAUAAACAACGGGAACAAUAUAAUAUAGAAUGGGUUGAUUGGGCUUAAUAUUUAAAUUAUAAAUCUUUUCGUAUGUAAGAAGUUUAGAAAAAAAACAUAAUGGUGUUGGGGGUUUAAAAUUGGUGUCGUUUAACAAUUUUCUAUUAAAUGUUAUAUUGUUAUAUAUGAUACGCGACGUUUAAUGGUGU
rnacentral:lncRNA from 1 species